GGCAGAUAUGGAUUGACACCUGUCCUAAGGAUCCCUGAUACACACUAACACAGAGCAGAAUAGGGACUGUUCCCCCUACAUAGGGUCACUUGGCAGAUAUGGAUUAACACCUAUCCUCAGGAUCCCUGAUACACACUGACACAGAGCAGAAUAGGGAAUGUUCCCCCUUCAUAGGGUCACUUGGCAGAUAUGGAUUGACACCUAUCCUAAGGAUCCCUGAUACACACUGACACAGAGCAGAAUAGGGAAUAUUCACUAAAUGCCAAACAUUGUUAUAUAGGGUAAUAUUCUGUAAAUAAGGAUAAGGG